AUCCUACGGGGCGCAGCAGUGGGGAAUAUUGCACAAUGGGGGGAACCCUGAUGCAGCGACGCCGCGUGAAGGAUGAAGUAUUUCGGUACGUAAACUUCUAUCAGCAGGGAAGAAAAUGACGGUACCUGACUAAGAAGCCCCGGCUAACUACGUGCCAGCAGCCGCGGUAAUACGUAGGGGGCAAGCGUUAUCCGGAUUUACUGGGUGUAAAGGGAGCGUAGACGGCGAUGCAAGUCUGAAGUGAAAGGCGGGGGCCCAACCCCCGGACUGCUUUGGAAACUGUAUGGCUGGAGUGCAGGAGAGGG
rnacentral:rRNA from 1 species